UAAGAAUCCUCAGCAAUACUUUGAUGAAAGCCUCCACCGAAAAGGAAGCCCCAGGACAUAAAGUCAUCCUUAAGCACAGAUAUAAGGCAGAAGUGCAUUUCCAAUGGCCAUGUGAAUGGGAAUUUCUAGGAAUCAGGGGCGAUUUAUGGUAUCCCUCCCUGCUGCCACCAAAACCAGUUAUGCUCCAGAUGGGUGGGAGGCUAUAUGGACCUCAUUCUCAUGAGAACUCUAGCGAACUCCAACGGUCAAGUAAUCCCGAGUGCUCUGCAGACCAGCAGUACUGACAUCAUCCGGGAGCCUGUGAGAAAAGUUGAAUCUCUGGACCCACCCCAGUUCUACAUUGCUACAAGAUGCCAG